rnacentral:rRNA from 1 species
GAUGAACGCUGGCGGCGUGCCUAAUACAUGCAAGUCGAGCGAACGGACGAGAAGCUUGCUUCUCUGAUGUUAGCGGCGGACGGGUGAGUAACACGUGGAUAACCUACCUAUAAGACUGGGAUAACUUCGGGAAACCGGAGCUAAUACCGGAUAAUAUUUUGAACCGCAUGGUUCAAAAGUGAAAGACGGUCUUGCUGUCACUUAUAGAUGGAUCCGCGCUGCAUUAGCUAGUUGGUAAGGUAACGGCUUACCAAGGCAACGAUGCAUAGCCGACCUGAGAGGGUGAUCGGCCACACUGGAACUGAGACACGGUCCAGACUCCUACGGGAGGCAGCAGUAGGGAAUCUUCCGCAAUGGGCGAAAGCCUGACGGAGCAACGCCGCGUGAGUGAUGAAGGUCUUCGGAUCGUAAAACUCUGUUAUUAGGGAAGAACAUAUGUGUAAGUAGCUGUGCACAUCUUGACGGUACCUAAUCAGAAAGCCACGGCUAACUACGUGCCAGCAGCCGCGGUAAUACGUAGGUGGCAAGCGUUAUCCGGAAUUAUUGGGCGUAAAGCGCGCGUAGGCGGUUUUUUAAGUCUGAUGUGAAAGCCCACGGCUCAACCGUGGAGGGUCAUUGGAAACUGGAAAACUUGAGUGCAGAAGAGGAAAGAGGAAUUCCAUGUGUAGCGGUGAAAUGCGUAGAUAUAUGGAGGAACACCGGUGGCGAAAGCGGCUCUCUGGCUUGUAACUGACGCUGAGGCUCGAAAGCGUGGGGAGCAAACAGGAUUAGAUACCCUGGUAGUCCACGCCGUAAACGAUGAGUGCUAGGUGUUAGACCCUUUCCGGGGUUUAGUGUCGCAGCUAACGCAUUAAGCACUCCGCCUGGGGAGUACGACCGCAAGGUUGAAACUCAAAGGAAUUGACGGGGGCCCGCACAAGCGGUGGAGCAUGUGGUUUAAUUCGAAGCAACGCGAAGAACCUUACCAGGUCUUGACAUCCCUCUGACCGUUCUAGAGAUAGAGCUUUCCUUCGGGACAGAGGUGACAGGUGGUGCAUGGUUGUCGUCAGCUCGUGUCGUGAGAUGUUGGGUUAAGUCCCGCAACGAGCGCAACCCCUAUUGUUAGUUGCCAUCAUUCAGUUGGGCACUCUAGCGAGACUGCCGGUAAUAAACCGGAGGAAGGUGGGGAUGACGUCAAAUCAUCAUGCCCCUUAUGACCUGGGCUACACACGUGCUACAAUGGCUGGUACAACGAGUCGCAAGCCGGUGACGGCAAGCUAAUCUCUUAAAGCCAGUCUCAGUUCGGAUUGUAGGCUGCAACUCGCCUACAUGAAGUCGGAAUCGCUAGUAAUCGCGGAUCAGCACGCCGCGGUGAAUACGUUCCCGGGCCU